AAGCUGUUGCUCUUAUAAUGUUUGAUGACGUUGCGCAAUUUCUGCCGCUAUGCUUUUGGUUACAUUGACGUCGGUACGACAUUGUCAUGACUGACUGGAUUCAAUUUAUACAAAAAUACAAAAUCAUGAAGAUUUGCUCGAGGAUAUUCGGGUUGAUGCAUCUGUGAAUCUAUUACCUAAGAAAGAUUUACUAAAAUUCGGUGAACAUUUACAAAAUGCCACAGUAUCGGUAGGGCGAGAGGCGGUGCAAUGUGUUGUCGAUAAUCUGCAAAACUACAAAUUCCUUCAAUGAUUUGGAUACAAAAUCAUAUUGUUGGUGCUGCCACCGGCCAAAAUAUAGCACUUGAAUAUCUGUCAGAGGCGCAUCCGAAAUAUAUCAAUUACUAGACGAAAAAUGACACGAUCACUGUGUCUGACAUUUUAGAAACAACGACAGUAUCCACAAUAGUACCGACGGUGGCUCUAAAUACCGUGCCAGUGGUGGUUGCGAAAUAAAACAACAAAGCUUUCCUUUGUAAGUUCGAGUUGAUUUCCAAUGUACUCUGCGGUACAAAAUCAGCUGGUUUCAACGGCAACUGGUUUCAACUGCAGUGAAUUCUUCAAACACCUUUUGUCUAAUCAUAAUUUACGUCUUUAUGAGGGUUGUUUGGUAUGUCUCACACAAGGAUUGUACAUAUUGCUCAGGAAGCACAAAAGUUGAUGGGUAAUUCGUUAUUUAAUAUAGUGUAGCAAUUGCAGUAGUUCCACAUAGCAGCAACAUCUCAAAUGGGGCCAACUUCCGAUAAUUUAUCUCUUUAAGCAUCGGAAAGGAUGAUUCUAUGAACCACUAGUGCCCAAUAUUUGAAGAGCUUGAGAGACGAAGUAAAAGAAGUUUGAGCACGCUAGAUCACGUCACGCUGUGCAGCUCAAAAAUAAUUUUAUGCAGUCUUAAUAGAUAUAACGACGAAUUCGUAUAAGUGCUAGCACAAGAAGAUGAAGAUAAACAUUUCACAGUUCAGAAUCAGAGGUGCUAUUAUUAAAAACCAUGAAUUUUAAGAGGAGUUCAAAGUGAUAUUAUUAAGAUAUUAUUCUUCACUUCUUACAAUGGGGCUCGGGACGGAAUAUUUAAUUUGUUUUAUUUCCCACAGGACUACGUAACAUGUUAACUGAAAUAAUAUAUCAACCAGUAAUCAUACAAAGCGAGUUGAACAGCCAGCGUUUAGAACUUUAUACGAAACUUAUGAGCGAUGCCGAAAGUGCUACUAGCAGCUACUUAGUUAAGAGUGCUUAUUUAUAAUAAAAUAAGUAAUGGUUAGUUUUUAUCUUAAAUUCAG